GCCACGGUAGCUCAGUCGGUAGAGCAGCGGACUGAAAAUCCGCGUGUCGGCGGUUCGAUUCCGCCCUGUGGCACCA
rnacentral:tRNA from 1 species